rnacentral:lncRNA from 1 species
GGCAGCCCAAAUCACACUUGUUUUAAGAUUCAGGGCACUUACUACAGUAUUCCCGCCAGAAUGCACUCUUUCCUUACACCAGGACCCGACUGGAAAAUAUAAAGAUGGAUUGCUGUAGGCUGGAAAAUCAAUUAGGAAAGAAAGAGCUUGUUUGACCUUUGGAUAAACAACUAAAACCUUCUAGAAGCACCUCAAAGGGAUGCAAGAACGCACGUGCUAUUUGAAUAGCAGAAAGGUUUUACGUGGAUCCCUGACAGUAUACAAAGUAUUAUUUAUAUGAGCGCUUAAAAAAAAAAAAAAGCACUUGUAAAAUAUACACUCUUCAGCAAUAGCCAAAUAUGGAAGGCGUGGAUAUGGGAUCGCAUACGCAGGCAGACUCUGGAAAUGGGGAGAGCCAUGCCUGUCCUUUCCUUUGCAUCGUGCGUUCACAUGACUACGAAUUCCACCCAAGGAUGUCUGGAGUUGGCCAAAUGGAGACCAACAGAUUUUCUUCCUAAGAGCAACGUGCUCCUGAAUGUUCAGCAGAGGCUGCUCUGGCAUGGUGCCAGUCUGAUGACUCAUGGACUCAUAACUUUCUUGUCAAGGCAUAUUGAAAAAAAAUUUAUAUCACCAGGGCAAAGCACCAGCUGGAAUUUCUUGCUCAAAGCAAAUCUCUCCAUGCCCACCUUGGCCACAACUUCAACCUUUUCAGAAAACUGCCCUUGAACUUUGACCUUUUGGUAAUGCUUGACCUCGAUGAGAUCUGGACUGUGUUUUGGCAAGGGUAGUCACUAGCGAGCGGGGUACUUGACUGUUCCUGGUUCACAUUAAAGGGUUUUGGGGUUUGGUUUGG